UGACUCAGCUUGCAUUCUUCCCACACAAACUGUUUCAUCUUCUUGCUUGGCCACAAUUAGGUCAUGGACUACAAAAUUGGCAAAGAGUCUUAACGUUUGUGGUCUCAUGAACUGCCAGUAUGCUAUCACAGCAUCUGGGGAGGUUUUUCUGCUUGAGGCAAAUCCUCGUGCUUCUCGAACUGUGCCAUUUGUUUCCAAGGCAAUUGGCCAUCCCUUGGCUAAAUAUGCUGCUCUUGUUAUGUCCGGAAUGUCACUUAAUGAAGUAGGCUUCCCAAAGGAGGUGAUCCCAACACAUGUGGCUGUGAAGGAAGUAGUUAUUCCGUUUGGGAGAUUUCCAGGCUGUGAUGUGUUGCUAGGGCCUGAAAUGAGGAGCACUGGUGAGGGAAUGGGUAUUGAUUUUGUGUUUGCUAUGGCGUUUGCAAAAUCUCAACUUGCAACUGGGCAGAACCUACCACUUUCUGGCACUGUGUUCAUCAGCUUGAAUGACUUGACAAAACCCCAUCUUGAAAAGCUUGCAAAGGCCUUUUUAGGACUUGGGUUCAGGAUUAUUUCAACUUCGGGAACAGCUCAUUUUCUUGAGUUGAAAGGUAUCCCUGUAGAUCGAGUGCUGAAGAUGCAUGAGGGGCGCCCACAUGCUGGUGAUAUACUUGCCAAUGGGCAAAUUCAGUUGAUGGUGAUCACAAGCUCAGGUGAUGCACUUGAUCAGAUUGAUGGCCGACAACUGAGGAGGAUGGCUCUUGCCUAUAGUGUUCCUAUAAUAACAACUGUUGCUGGUGCUUUGGCAACUGCAGAGGCAAUAAAGACCUUGAAAUCCAGCAAUAUGAAUAUGAUAGCCCUUCAGGACUUCUUUAAUGCCAAGGUACAUGAAGACAGUAAUAAAAACUUGCAGUCAGCCUCAUCUUCUCUAUGAUUUAGGUAGCAUUUCUGGCCAAGCUUGUGUUUGUUUUUUUUAUUAUGAUAUUUUUUUUUUUGGAAUUUAAAUCCAAGUUAUGUUUGGUAUUGUCGUUCGAGAUGGACUCGCUAUUAAUUAAUAAGCUUUAUCAAAAUUUUCUGUGUCAAAAAAAAAACAAACACAAGCUUGGCCAGAA
rnacentral:misc_RNA from 1 species